rnacentral:rRNA from 1 species
UACGAAGGGUGCAAGCGUUACUCGGAAUUACUGGGCGUAAAGCGUGCGUAGGCGGUUUGUUAAGUCUGUCGUGAAAGCCCCGGGCUCAACUUGGGAAUGGCGAUGGAAACUGGCGAGCUAGAGUACGGUAGAGGAGAGUGGAAUUCCCGGUGUAGCAGUGAAAUGCGUAGAGAUCGGGAGGAACAUCAGUUGCGAAGGCGGCUCUCUGGACCAGUACUGACGCUGAGGCACGAAAGCGUGGGGAGCAAACAGG